GGAGUUGUGGCUCAGUGGCAGAGCGCUUGCCUAGCAUGUAUGAGCCCCUGAGUUCAAUCCUCAGCACCA
rnacentral:tRNA from 1 species